rnacentral:rRNA from 1 species
UACAGAGGGUGCUAGCGUUGCUCGGAAUCACUGGGCGUAAAGCGGGUGUAGGUGGCUUUGUAAGUCAGGAGUGAAAGCCCUGGGCUCAACCCAGGAAGUGCUUUUGAUACUGCAAAGCUUGAGUGUGGGAGAGGAUCGUGGAAUUCCAGGUGUAGUGGUGAAAUACGUAGAUAUCUGGAGGAACACCGGUGGCGAAGGCGGCGAUCUGGCCCAACACUGACACUCAGACCCGAAAGUGCGGGGAUCAAACAGG